UACGAAGGGGCUAGCGUUGACUCGGAAUUAGCUUAGGGGCGUAAAGGCGCGUAGGGCGGCGAACUUGGUUAGUACAGGCGUGAAAUUCCUGGGCUCAACCUGGGACUGACGCCUUGAUAGCGGCAGAGCUAGAGGAAUGGAAGAGGCUCGGCGGAAAUUCCAGUGUAGAGGUGAAAUUCGUAGAUAUUGGGAAGAACGACCGGUUGGCGAAGGCGGCGAGCUGGAUCCAUUACUGACG
rnacentral:rRNA from 1 species